rnacentral:lncRNA from 1 species
UCCAAACGCCGAUCAAACUUGAAGCCGAAACAUUAGAAAGAAACAUUCUUUUAGAUGGGGUGUUGGACUUGGAGACUCUGGCUCUAGAGAUGCAGGGAUUAGGAAAGAGAAAGGAUAAAGAACACAUUGAUGGGGAGUUGAAUGAUGAGUUUUGGGAGGAGUUGCUUAAUGGAGGGAUUGGAGAGGAGAAUGGUGAAGUUGAUAUUGAGGGGAUGAGUGAUAGUGCUGAGGAUGUGGAUGUGCUGGCUGAGAAACUGGGCUUUCUUAGUUCUACUAGCCCUAGAUAGCAGCACUAAGAUUUUCAUGUCUUGAUGGUAGUCUGUUCUAUUCUGCUCACACUUCAGGAGACUGAUGGCAG